rnacentral:rRNA from 1 species
UGACGGCCUUCGGGUUGUAAACCUCUUUUAGCAGGGAAGAAGCGUAAGUGACGGUACCUGCAGAAAAAGCGCCGGCUAACUACGUGCCAGCAGCCGCGGUAAUACGUAGGGCGCAAGCGUUAUCCGGAAUUAUUGGGCGUAAAGAGCUCGUAGGCGGUUUGUCGCGUCUGCUGUGAAAACCCGAGGCUCAACCUCGGGCCUGCAGUGGGUACGGGCAGACUAGAGUGCGGUAGGGGAGAUUGGAAUUCCUGGUGUAGCGGUGGAAUGCGCAGAUAUCAGGAGGAACACCGAUGGCGAAGGCAGAUCUCUGGGCCGUUACUGACGCUGAGGAGCGAAAGGGUGGGGAGCAAACAGGCUUAGAUACCCUGGUAGUCCACCCCGUAAACGUUGGGAACUAGUUGUGGGGGCCUUUCCACGGUCUCCGUGACGCAGCUAACGCAUUAAGUUCCCCGCCUGGGGAGUACGGCCGCAAGGCUAAAACUCAAAGGAAUUGACGGGGACCCGCACAAGCGGCGGAGCAUGCGGAUUAAUUCGAUGCAACGCGAAGAACCUUACCAAGG